rnacentral:misc_RNA from 1 species
GAUGAAGAACGUAGCGAAAUGCGAUAAGUAGUGUGAAUUGCAUAAUUUUGUGAAUCAUCGAAUCUUUGAACGCAAAUUGCACUCUCUGGUAUUCCGGGGAGUAUGCCUGUUUGAGGGUUGUUAGAAUAAAAAUCGAAGCAUCGCUCCUUUGUAUUUUGGGGUGAUCGCGUCGGAAUUGAGCCGUCUUUCAUAUGUUAAUUCAUGUCAAAGUGGCUUAAAAUUUUCCAUCAUACCUGGUACGAUUAAAGCGUAUUUAAGAUCAAUUUUUGAUUAAGAACGCGCGAUGACGUACCAUCUCAUGUAGUACGUUCGACCUGCGUUGUAGGUUCAUUCGUAUACGAUACUCAACUUUUGACCUCAAAUCAGGUAAGAAUACCCGCUGAACUUAAGCAUAUCAAUAAGCGGAGGA